GCUUACGGCCAUACCACCUUAGGCACGCCCGAUCUCGUCUGAUCUCGGAAGCUAAGCAGGGGUCGGGCCUGGUUAGUACUUGGAUGGGUGACCGCCUGGGAAUACCAGGUGCUGUAAGCA
ensembl:rRNA 5S_rRNA 5S ribosomal RNA